UACGAAGGGGGCUAGCGUUGUUCGGAAUUACUGGGCGUAAAGCGCGUGUAGGCGGGUCUUUUAAGUCAGGGGUGAAAUGCCAAGGCUCAACCUUGGAACUGCCUUUGAUACUGGAGACCUUGAGUCCGGGAGAGGUGAGUGGAAUUGCGAGUGUAGAGGUGAAAUUCGUAGAUAUUCGCAAGAACACCAGUGGCGAAGGCGGCUCACUGGCCCGGAACUGACGCUGAGAUGCGAAAAGCGUGGGAGGCAACAAGGA
rnacentral:rRNA from 1 species